rnacentral:rRNA from 1 species
UACGAAGGGGGCUAGCGUUGCUCGGAAUCACUGGGCGUAAAGCGCACGUAGGCGGAUUUCUAAGUCGGGGGUGAAAUCCUGGAGCUCAACUCCAGAACUGCCUUCGAUACUGGAAAUCUCGAGUCCGGGAGAGGUGAGUGGAACUCCGAGUGUAGAGGUGAAAUUCGUAGAUAUUCGGAAGAACACCAGUGGCGAAGGCGGCUCACUGGCCCGGUACUGACGCUGAGGUGCGAAAGCGUGGGGAGCAAACAGG